rnacentral:rRNA from 1 species
GACGAACGCUGGCGGCGUGCUUAACACAUGCAAGUCGAACGGAAAGGCCCUGCUUUUGUGGGGUGCUCGAGUGGCGAACGGGUGAGUAACACGUGAGUAACCUGCCCCUGACUUUGGGAUAACUUCAGGAAACUGGGGCUAAUACCGGAUAGGAGCUCCUGCUGCAUGGGGGGGGUUGGAAAGUUUCGGCGGUUGGGGAUGGACUCGCGGGUUAUCAGCUUGUUGGUGAGGUAGUGGCUUACCAAGGCUUUGACGGGUAGCCGGCCUGAGAGGGUGACCGGCCACAUUGGGCCUGCGAUACGGCCCAGACUCCUACGGGCGGCAGCAGUGGGGAAUAUUGCACAAUGGGCGGAAGCCUGAUGCAGCAACGCCGCGUGCGGGAUGACGGCCUUCGGGUUGUAAACCGCUUUCGCCUGUGCCGAAGCGUGAGUGACGGUAAUGGGUAAGGAAGCACCGGCUAACUACGUG